rnacentral:rRNA from 1 species
GUCUGGGAUACCACUUGGAAACAGGUGCUAAUACCGGAUAACAACAAUAGCUGCAUGGCUAUUGUUAAAAGGCGGCGAAAGCUGUCGCUAAAGGAUGGACCCGCGGUGCAUUAGCUAGUUGGUAAGGUAAUGGCUUACCAAGGCGACGAUGCAUAGCCGAGUUGAGAGACUGAUCGGCCACAUUGGGACUGAGACACGGCCCAAACUCCUACGGGAGGCAGCAGUAGGGAAUCUUCCACAAUGGGCGAAAGCCUGAUGGAGCAACGCCGCGUGAGUGAAGAAGGUUUUCGGAUCGUAAAGCUCUGUUGUUGGUGAAGAAGGAUAGAGGUAGUAACUGGCCCCUAUUUGACGGUAAUCAACCAGAAAGUCACGGCUAACUACGUGCCAGCAGCCGCGGUAAUACGUAGGUGGCAAGCGUUGUCCGGAUUUAUUGGGCGUAAAGCGAGCGCAGGCGGAAAGAUAAGUCUGAUGUGAAAGCCCCCGGCUUAACCGAGGAAUUGCAUCGGAAACUGUGUUUCUUGAGUGCAGAAGAGGAGAGUGGAACUCCAUGUGUAGCGGUGGAAUGCGUAGAUAUAUGGAAGAACACCAGUGGCGAAGGCGGCUCUCUGGUCUGUAACUGACGCUGAGGCUCGAAAGCAUGGGUAGCGAACAGGAUUAGAUACCCUGGUAGUCCAUGCCGUAAACGAUGAGUACUAAGUGUUGGGAGGUUUCCGCCUCUCAGUGCUGCAG